rnacentral:piRNA from 1 species
UAAGAUGAGAGGCUGGCUGCAAGUUGA